CGCAGAAAGAAAGAGAGACAGGCCACCCUAAAUAUCUUCCGUGACCACGACUGCGUCGGUAUAACAAAGCGUGAGCCGCCUGAAGCCGCAGAGGCACUGAUUUCCCUCCUCCUCUCUUCUUCACAUCCCUCAGUCUUUACCUUUUCCCAGCAUUGGAUUUAUAAAUGUUCUGAUUCUGCCGUGACGUUUUAAUAACAAGCCUGAAGCACUGCUCUUGCCAUUAAGCCUUCUGAAGCAUCGCUUUGCUCUCACAUGAGAAGUAUGCGUGUGAGAGUGUGUCUGAGAGAGGGAAGGUGUGGGGUUUAUUCCAUCAGUUUAUUUUUAACUUGUGAUUCAACUCUGAAAAUACAGAAUUAAAACCAUGGAAUUUGGGUCAUAAACAUGCUGGAAAAAGUCUCUGUGAAAUGGCUUCUUUGAUGGGAACUUAAAAAUAAGCUAAAGCAGAGAGAACCACUUGGGCGCAUUGCAUCUUCUAAACCACAGCUGGCACCCUGCAAGAUCUUUUCAGCGCAGUGACAGUGCCGCGAUGCGGGGUGUGAUGGUGGCUGCACAAACCGCAUAUCCCCAUGCAUUAUGUCCCUGGCGACUGCUGAAGUAGCCCGUGACGCUACACCUUUAACGCAGUAUUUUCUGAGUUGUAGAUAAUGUUAGCGUGGUUUGCCGGCUACCGCAGUACAGAGCAUCCCGCUCACAGGCUCCGUGCCUGCAGAGCAGCGUGGGCACGCCGCACACAGCGCUGACCUGGCUCGCGCAGCUCCCGGCAGCAGCAGGGAACCCGAGCAGGCCAGGUCCCCGGGUGUGUGUCUUGCUGCUCACAUCGAUUUUACAGAUUUCGCUUAGCUCUGUGCUGCAACAACGCCUGUAGCAAGGGAGAGCUUUGUGAUUCAAGUGGGAUAACGAACUCGGCUUGCUGAGCUACUUUAAAUAGCAGAAUUUUCAGCAUAUUUUGGUGAAGGUGUUUGCCAGACACUGAAAUUAAUUCCAUGUGUCUGGCCUAUCAGCAGCAGCAGCUCUGACCUUUCCCAGUUGGUCUCAGAUUGAAAGGUGAGAACCGGUAAUCAGCCUGCCAUGCUUCAGCUCUUGAAAUCUGUCCAAGCACCACUCGCAGAAUUAUUUCCUGCCAGUGGCCAGGUCCUACGGUAGCUGAAGACAUCUGUUUGUCUAAUACCCGUGCAAGACUGUUUCUUAGGAUAAUACCACACUUAGCUUGCGGCUUUCCUCCUAAAAACUCCUGACGUGCUCUGUAAAUGUAGAGCCGAAGCAUCUUUCAGUUUAAGUAGGUGGAGGCGUUACCUUUAUGAAUGACAGAAGCAAAACCAUUAAGACCAACAGUGCGUGGCACAAUGUGUGACAGUGGGUGUAAGGAGAAAUUUUCACCUAAGGAUUCAGGACAAACCCUCCUAUGUGGGAGGCACACUGGCAGUGUAAUACAUGUAACUGCGUUAACGUUUUUGUUAAGAUCUUAUCUUGAGAAGGGUCCCAUACAGUGAGUUAGAGGAUAGUCCCCCCUUGUGAUCUGAAAGGUGCAGACACAGCCGUGUGAGUGUCUGGGUGUCCUUGGCUGCCACUGAAAUUGCUGUAUUUGUUGAACCCUUAUGAGAACUUUGCAGCUGCUUUCAGUGGGAACAUGGUGAUGCACUGCGGUGACGGCAUCUGCUCGGCACUUUAUGGGACAGAAGAGAGCUGACCCUGGCAAAACUCAGAACGGUUUCUGUGGAAUCUCAGUAUUUUAAUUCUCAUUCUUUGAUCAACCCUUGGUUAUAGAAAGCUCCUGUGUAUUUCAAAGCCGCCUUGAGUGACUAUGAGAUUAAAAAAACGUGGUUU